CAUUUCCAGGAGGUUGUAAAGCCUGGGACCCAGAGAAACAACAGGCAGAGGUGUAGACACCCCGAAACAUGUGACAGACCAGCUCGAGUCAAUGCCUGCCUUGAAUCGCCUUCAUCUAACGUGAUGCUCCUCUCAAGAUGGUGCGCCCUCAGUGCAAACACCAAUAGCUCACCUUUAGAUGCCACACAUGGGAGGAAACCUCGAGCUAGGGAGCUGGCAGGUUCCAGAGCGGGGACUUCCCAGACCCAUGUUUUCCCAUCCCUUGCUCUCCCAUCGGCCUUCACAACGAUGCCUGGUCCUCCUGUCUGUCAUGUGUGUGGUGGCAAGAUGGCCGAUGUGUCUUCAUCCCUCACAGCUACUUUGUGGAAAGGAAGAAUGUCGUCAUCCGCCGGGAUCGUGGAAAAGAAUAGAACCAGGCCUAGGGAGAUCGCUUAGUCACUCAACUGUCUUCCUUGCAGGGCCUGAGCCUGGUGCUCAGAAGCCUCCUAAACUAAACAAACCUGAGAUCUGCAGAUCAGGCCAGCAUCCCAGAAACUCGGGGACAGGAGCUGAAGUUUGCAUAUCCGGGCAGACUAUCUUUAUCCUCAGAGGCACCUGUUUUGUCUCAACACCUUCAUCUGAGUGGAGGUCUGGAUGUCAAUAACAAUGGGGAACGCAUGGUCGCUAAAUCUCAGAGCUGAACAACACCAUCACAACCAGACAUAGGAAGCAGAAAGACAGAACAAACAGGAAAUGGAGUGAGAUUAUAAACCCCCAAAGCCCGCCCCAUCCCGGGUACUUCCCUCCACCAAGAAACCACAUCCUAGAAGUUCCACGCCCUCCUCAAACAGCACCACCAACUGGAGAUCAACUGCUCAAAUACCGGAGCCCAUGAGAGACUUUCUCAACCAAACCACCGUGCCAGAGAGUCUGUAUUUCUCACAGGCCGGCAGAUGCAUGCAUACUUAGGGUAGGGGGCGCUAGAUACCACCCUGACUCCACACCUUUCAUUUCUUUCUGGUUCUGUGGCCACAUGAGGGAGUCCCCUAAGCCCCCAGUCCUUCUAUUCCAGCUACCCCGGGGUACAGGGAAAUCUCCGCACCACCAUCACCCCCAACCUACUGAGUAAUCCCGGGCGCCAUCACCAAUCAUUUUGUUUGACCAGUUGGCAACUCCAACCUGCCUGGCAGGGUGUGCAAAAAAAAAAAAAAAAAAAAAGUAAUUAGCCCAGGUGAGGCUCAUUAGAGCCAGUCUGGAAUUCUGCCAGCCAUACCAGUCGCUCUGUGCCAACCCUUGAUUUUAAUAUCAAUGGCGGUGCUGACAAGGGCCAGGCAGCGCUCUCCCCCUCCCCUCCCACGUGCUCUCACAGCGAGGUGAGGCAGGCGGCUCCAUCAAAUCAGAACUGGCUCUUGAGUCAGUUUCCUGGGCCUCCGUUCUCUAACAGGCUGGGCCCCAGGUGAUCUUAAAAAUUAAAUGAAGCUCAGAAAAUGAGACACCUAAGAGAGCCAGGAAUUAAUAGCCCGUCCCAGGCUCCAGCAGAACUCCUGACUGAACAUCCCUUGUCAAUUUUCUUGGAAUUCAUUUGGGGUUUUGUUACUGGCAAAGAUUCAGUCAGAGAUCUCACAGCUCUGGGGUGUUUCCACCAUGAGUUCCCAGUCCCCCAACUGUGUUCUUGUUCUCAUGCAAAAUUUAAAAUGGGCCACAAUAGCCAGCCCUAUCUUUUCUCCCUAAAAACUGAGAUACUUCUGUGGAUGAAGUGCAUGCAGAGUAGACUGUAGACUGGCCUUUGAUGCUGCAAAGAAGCCAACUAAAGAUUUUCACUACUGGCAGGGUGUGGAGGUGCAUGCUUUAAUCUCAGCAAAGAGUGGAGAAUAAAAUAGAGAAAAGGAAAGAGGAGGCCCUGAGUCAGGUGACCAACAGAAUCCUAGCCCUGCGGUACAAGCAAAAGGGAGAAAGCAGGACUGUAGCAUUGUGGGACCUUAAGCAGAAGGGAAGGUGGAUUGCAACUGGCUGCCUUGUAAUAGAUGGGUC